AUUGAACGCUGGCGGCAGGCUUAACACAUGCAAGUCGAGCGGGGUGAUGGUGCUUGCACUAUCACUUAGCGGCGGACGGGUGAGUAAUGCUUAGGAAUCUGCCUAUUAGUGGGGGACAACAUCUCGAAAGGGAUGCUAACACCGCAUACGUCCUACGGGAGAAAGCAGGGGAUCACUUGUGACCUUGCGCUAAUAGAUGAGCCUAAGUCGGAUUAGCUAGUUGGUGGGGUAAAGGCCUACCAAGGCGACGAGCUGUAGCGGGUCUGAGAGGAUGAUCCGCCACACUGGGACUGAGACACGGCCCAGACGCCUACGGGAGGCAGCAGUGGGGAAUAUUGGACAAUGGGGGGAACCCUGAUCCAGCCAUGCCGCGUGUGUGAAGAAGGCCCUAUGGUUGUAAAGCACUUUAAGCGAGGAGGAGGCUCUUUUGGUUAAUACCCAAGAUGAGUGGACGUUACUCGCAGAAUAAGCACCGGCUAACUCUGUGCCAGCAGCCGCAGUAA
rnacentral:rRNA from 1 species